CUCUUUCACCUUCAAAAACCAACGAAAAGAAUCCCUAUCAAAUAAGGAACCAAACGACAGACACCCCUUUGGCUGUUCUUUUUCUUGAACCUACAAAGAACCAAUGACCCUUUUCUUAUUCUCCUAAAGACCAAACCACACCUUCAACACUCUAGAGAUGAGCAGAACACACCUAGUCAUAAACAGAAGGAAGGAACAAUAGCAGAAACAGGGAAACUAGUUGCCGCCUCUAUUGUUGAAGAUCGAAUCGGACUGGAUCUGGACGAGCUGGCCGGAAAUUUUGUUUGAUGUUCCAUUCGUCAUCUAUGGUCAAGUUCACACCUGCUACAUCAAUCUCGACCUGCGAAUUUGCUCCUCCUCCAUCUCUUAAUUCACCAAAUUCAAGUUGUAAGUUACGUGUUAAUUAUUAAGCUGCAGCUCUUUUAUCUAUCUUCAACUGCAUGAAAAUAAGGUUUCGGUUUCCGCCUUGUCAUAGUUAUAUGUGAUUUAUCAAUUAAUGUGCACUUUUAUUUGUUUUCCAUGUGAUAAUAGCUACAAACAUAUGAUAUUGUGAAUCUGCUUAUGCAUUCGCUAGUCAAUUUUCUGACUAUAUUUGUUAUUGAAUGCGGCCAUUGAUUGGAACGGUAAUAUUAUAAAAUAUAGCUUAUCCAGUUCCUUCAUAUCUUUAACAAUGUAAUUGGAAAUAUUUUGAAGCCACUUUGGGAUCCAUUUUCUUUACUAGUUUUCGUUUUAUUUACCCCUUUAAUUCAUAGGAAUAAUGGUUUUCGGUACUGUUCAUGCUUUUAUUCCCUUCGGUCCAAAAUAAGUGAUUUUUGAUUUUUUUUUUGUGGUCCAAAAUAAGUAAUUUUUUCAGAUUUCAAGAAUGAAUUAAUUAUUUGUUUCCUACAUUGUCCUUGGAGUAAAUAAUGUAGGAAUAUGUUAGGGAGUUAUGUGAGAUAGUAAAGAUUAAUAUGGUCAAUUCUAUUACUAACUAAUGCUAAAAGAUAAAUUCCUUAAUAUGUAUGAAAACGUCCAAAAAAUUACUUAUUUUGGAUCGGAGGGAGUAUCACCAAAGAAUCUAGUUUUCUUAAAUUGCUAUAUUGGCUAAUUAUGAGUCAUAUAUAUAUAUAUAUAUAUAUAUAUAUAUAUAUAUGUGUAUUUUGUUUUAACAUCCGAGUCCAAUUCAACUCUCAAAUAUUUAUUUUUUUUAUUUUUUUAAAACAUAGUCAAAAUUUUUCACAAUAUUCUCUUCAAAUUCCAUGGAUUAGAUUUUAAAUCUCAUAGAUAAUUAUGUCACGUAAUUAAAACGGUUAAGGGUCACAUUAGCCCUUGUACUAUUCAAAAUAAGCUACAUUUAUCCUCCGUUUGAAUUCUUUGACUGAUUUUGACUUGCUAAAAUUGGUUAUUGGCGGAUUCCUUUUGAGAAUAGUUAGAUCACGUUUUAAACUAUCGUGAUUGUAUACACAUUCGCUUGACGUGGUUACGAUUUUCAAAAAUAAAACCGGAGUAUGCGUUCGCACAACUUCGAUCAAACUUUCCAAAAAUGAAAUUGCUUUUAAUAGGCCGAUUUUAAAUCUAGUUCAUAUAGCCCGAGGUGUGCCAUCCACAAUUUAAUCACUUAUGGCCCUCGUAUUAAUUUCAUAACCUAGUUAUAAAAAUGUCAAAUACUCGUAGUUGCAUUAGGCCCAUUUAAUAUACCAUCGUGAUUGUGGACACGUUCGCAUGACAUGAUUACGAUUUCUGAAAGAACAAAAUCGGAGUAUGCGUUCGCGCAACUUUAGCCAAACUUUCUGAAUAAUAAUAAGCGUUAUUAAUUGUGGACACGUUCGCGUGACAAAAUUUUUGAUGCGCCAAACGAAAUGAGUACACCUACGCGUGACUCAUUUUAAGAUAAUUUUCUUAAUUGAAAAGCGGUAAAAGGUAAAUGCACAUAUGUUAUAAAAUCAGUAAUUAGACAAUUUGAUUAAGCCAAGUAUGAUCAAAGCGACUGUGCUAGAAUGAUCGAGAUCGGGAGUACCAAACGCUUUCUCCCAGGUUAACAAAAUUUCUUACCAGAAUUUCUGUGUUCGCAUACCGUAAAUAGAGUAAACUUUCCUCGAUUCAAAAUUUUGAACCUGUGACUUGGGGAACCAUAAAUUAUACCAAGUGGCGACUCAGAAUUUUUAAUAAAUAAUCCCAUUUCGAUUGUCACUUAAAUUAGAAAAACUCCGUUAUACCAUCUCGGGGGUAGCAAAAAGGAGGUGUGACAACUCUGGCGACUCUACUGAGGAGAAGAACCCAGAAAAUCUGGUUCAAGGUUCAAGAAUUCGAGCUUGUUAAUAUGAUUUAGCUUGGCUUUAGUUAUUUAUUAAUAUUACUGUAUUUUGUGAACCUUUGUGCUAAUUACUCUAUUUACCGUUUUGAUAUUACCUGAAUUAUAUAUAACUGUCUUCUUACGCCACCCCUCCGAGUCUUUUGAAAAUGGUGCACACGUUCGCGUGGCCCACUUUUUCUGUAGAAAUUAUACCAAAUAGAAUGAGGUUGGGCACGCGACAAGGCCGGGUAGACUUCAGUGCUCCCGGUACGUUGCCCCCUCUUUGGCCUCAGUUGUCCGCUCGGGUUCCCCAAGUCUAGACAAAAACCCCAAAAUUUAAACAAAGAAGAACAUAGCCUCAUGCUGGAUCCCUAGUAGGAGUACUUGUUUUGUAUCAUGUGAAAUUGACUUAGGAGACUCAACACAAGGGUUGGGUCCGUCUAGGACAUGUGUACCCAAAAUAACAGACCAUCCUAAUGCAUCAUAUGUGUUAUAUGUUGCAUUUCUUCAAGGGUAAAAGGGUAAUUUGGCGGAUCAAUGAAAGUUGAGGGCACAUGAAAAGAAAGAAAAAAAAGAAAAAAGAUAAGGUGAAAUGUGAAAAAUAAAGCAAGUAGGGCCCGAUUAUGUUAUCUGUCACAUUUUUGAAAAAGAAAUAAAAAAGAAAAUGAAAAAUUCAAAAAGUUUUUGCACUUUCCCAUUAUUUUCCAAAAAAUCAAGGAAAAAGAAAAUCCAAAAAGAGUUUACAUGUUUCAUCAGUUUUCAAAAGAAAAGAAAAUAUAUAUUUUCUCUAAAUUAGUUAUUUUCUUUUAAAAUUCUCGCCCGUAUUCAAUCGCCGCGAACUACGCAGACCUGAUUCUCGUAUUUUCGAGCGUGAUACGUAGGUAACCCACAUUGGGUCCGGUCCUCCUAGUAAAUCUUAGGUUCUUGGCUUUGCGGGGUCUUAGCUAAAUUUUGUACUUCUAGCCAUCUUUUGGCAAAAUAAGUUAUUUUACAAAAAUAGCGUCUACCAUGUCUUGGAUGUGUCUAGUAGGGAAUGUUAUUAUCUAACACAGUAUUGGUUUCAGUUUUCUCAUAUAGGUGUGAAUCUACUUAUCGAAGUUUGAGAAUGGCAGAUAUCCCAGGAUCACUACAUUCAGGAGCUGCUCGAGGAGUCAUUUUAUAUUUUUGGGUCAAUUUUUCAUGUUUACUUUCUAGUCAUGUAUAAUAAUAUCCAGUCUUUUAGGUGAUGUUCGAGUUUGUAAUAGUCUAGUUAAUUUUUCCAAAUAUUUUGUUAUUGUA
rnacentral:lncRNA from 1 species